AGCCCUUGACAUGGGGAUUCUGGGUUUCAGAGAUGAGACCCUUCAGUUCGGCUGGGUCCCACA
rnacentral:rRNA from 1 species